AGAGGAAUCGAGGUGAGCGCGGAAAUGCCAGAGGAAUCGAGGCGAGCGCGGAAAUGCCAGAGGAAUCGAAGCGUGCGAGGAAUCGCCAGAGGAAUCACUUCGCUACUGGAAACAUAAGUGUCAGAGGAAUCACUAUGCCAGAGGAAUCAAACGCCACAGAAAUCACCAUUUCUCUGUAGUCAAAGAAAUCACCAUUCCGCUGGCGAUAGCCAGAGCUGAAGCCAUUCCGCUGGCGAGAACCCCGAAUUCGGCCAGAGAGGAGAUUAUUUUCGGAGCGCGCGUCACAGCUGGAAAGUUGCCUUAUCAUGCACGAUUCUAUUGCCUUUCGAGUUCUACUUUUUAUGGCAACUUCCAUGGUGAUCCAUAGG
rnacentral:lncRNA from 1 species